UGCCAGUCCAGCCCUGUUUCUGCUUCCGUCACACCGACAGGAUCAGGCUCUGUGCUCGCUCAAGAACAAGCUGCAGGGACGUGUUCUGGAUUCCCGUGGGUGUGAAGGAAGACCAUGACUGAAGAAAUAAAGCAAGUCAAGUUUGUCUUCAAUGACCUUAUAAGAGAAAUCUUUAAUUACCUGCACCAUGCUGACUUAUGAUAAGGCAAUGGGAAUAAAGCAAGACUACAUCAGGAGAGGCUACACUACAUUGGACAUGCUCUGAGUCUGAAAAGCCAAACCUCAUUCAAAGCUGGAAUCUCUGCAGGCAUGUGUGGCUGGUACUCACAGGUCCCCAUACAGCUGUGCACAGCUUCCUACCUGAGGGAGGCUUCCUGCACGCAGCUGCUGAAGACAUCGCCUGUCCUAGAGCUUGAUUGGAGCCCAGAGGCUGCUGGAAACUCGUAGCUUUGUUGGUUGAAGCGGUCCGGUGCUUUGAUUUGGGAUCUUUAACUGGUUUAGUCCAGACCAGGGCCUCCCCAACCUGGAGAGCAGCUCCCAACUUCUGGGCCACCUCAACCAUCUUGUGUCCACAUGGGAAGGAAAAACAAAGUCACAGGUUGGUCAGAGCCACUGCAACAAAGAAAGUGAGCGCUGCGGCUGGAGAGCCCAGCGUAGGAAACAAGGGGAAUAUGUGAAGACAGCAGCUCAUUCAGCCCCCAGACGUGGCUCCUACUGCACCCUCUCCGGUUCCAGCACCACCACCUGCUCAGCCAUUCAGCUUGGAUACCUGGUGUCAUCUCCAGCAGUCCCCGCUCCACAGUUAACCAGCUGCCAAGUUCCACGAAUCCCACUUUUUGCAGCUCCUUUGGUGACACUGCCCUUGCUGAGUUAUGUCGGGUUUUCCAUCUCGUUCCCCAGGGGCAUGUCCCCACCUGCUUCCAGCCCCUUGCCACAGUGCUGCCAGGUAUCUCGCUGACAGACAGCAAAUGUGACCAUGGCACUAGCUACUUGAGCAGCCUCACUCCUCUCCAUCACUCAUAACCAUCAUCUUUAAACUGCUCUUCAGCAACAGAACACUCACCCCUUUCUAGUCAGUAUUUUCUGGAAGGCUGAUCUAUAAAACAAAAACAGCUGCUCUGGAAGCCCUGCCUGCUCCACCCACCCACCAACCAUGCACCUGCUUCUAGCAGACACAAGAGGAGAGCUAGGAAUACAUGGCCUCGGGGAGCACGUCUACAGCCCCUGUGCUGUACCCACGGCCCUCCGAGCUCUGACCCCAGACCACCUCCCCUGACCAGUCUCCCACUAACAGCCAGGUCCACCCUGCAGCUCCAGGGCUGCAGGCCUUCACUCAGGGGCUCCUCAGUCAUUCUGUGCUACUGAAUUCCAGCUCACCUUUCAAACCCCACUGUGAAGACUCUCUCUACUUCAUGAAAUCAGGAUUGCUACUCAUGUGCUACAGUACAGCUGUUUACACUCUUGUAUCCCAUUCCAGCUGGGCUCUCUGUAUUUGUACUCAGGUAAAUACCAAAUACCCACCACUCAACUUGCUUUCACAACCUUUCUCUUAUAAAUCAGAACACCAAAUGACCCAAAAAACCACCUGAGAACUACUGUCACUAAGAACAUGGAAACUGCUUUUAGGUGUACACUUAGUCAACUUGGUAUAUGGAGAAAUAGCCCCCAGAAAGAGUGUUUAGUCAAUACUUUUAUAGUAACAUGAAUAACAGACUGUAAUAAUGAUACCAAAACCAACAUACCAUUCACUGGCUGAUUGAUCAUAUAAUCCUCUCAUCAAUCCUAUGGGCUACAGCCAGUAACUAGUAGAGGCAGGACCCUCCCUAAUGCCCGAGAUCUUAACACUUGAUGAAAACUGGAGCUUAGAUGGGCUCAAUGUAUAUAAAACCGAGUCGUCAAGCCGAGGGAAAACCAUGGUACAAGGUGAACUAGGGAUCAGCCUGACUUAACCUGCUGGUCUUCAGGUGAAAUCCCCCCAAGUCCGGAGCAACAGCACGCUCUGUCGUCUCUCUCUCGUAUUUCUUCAGGCUCUAGGACGGUAACCCAGAUUCCCAUGGCAUCUGCAAGGGAGUGGCUUCCAUGGGACAUUUAACCACAUUUGACUCCUACGACUAACUCGCUCCACUCAUUACAGCCUGCGGAGGGGCCUCCAGGUAAACGUCUUACCAGCCAAGAGCAUGUAGAGCUCCCCCAUCUUGGGCUGGAAGUUGAUGGCGGCGCUGAGGAAGUGGAAAGCCGACGCGUACUGCUGCAUGGUCAAGUGCACGAGGCCCAAGUUGUACAGGAUCUUCCAGUCGAAGGGUGCCAAGUAGUUGGCUCGUUUCAGGCAGCUGAUGGCCUGGAGGAGAGGGGGGCCCUCCGUGAGAGGUGGGGCAAGCUGGGCAGCCCCAGUAACUAGGAACACAAAGCAGGAAGAGGACACUCACUGCCACGUAUUUCUUCUUGCCAAAGAAACACAUUCCGAUGUUAUUCCAGAGCGGAGGACUUUCUGGAACAGCACAAGCGACAACUCUGUAUUUGGUGAGGGCAACAUCAAAGUCCCCAUGGGUCUGCAUCAUGCUGCCUGCUGCCAAGAUGGCCUGAAAACGUGACAAGUUGGUGACUCAGUCAUUCCCAGAAGGCUGGAGCAGUGAAGCAGCCUUCCUGAGUCGAGACACUGAGCAGGCGCAUCAGCUCUGGGGGGCAAGAAGCUGCUUCCAGGGGCCUACAUGACACCCCAGCCACACGACAGACACUCCUGCCCCAACACCAGGGCUCUCCGGCAGGACAAGAACAGAGACAGUGUCGCUGAGCACCCAGCUCGUCUGUUUCCUACUUCUUGCCAGGAAAGUCAGUGCUUCAGAGAAAUAGGGUCUUCAAGUAAAAACUGCCAUCAACCUGUUCCCUGCAGCCCCUGCUUGGUAUCAAGGUGUUCUAGACAACUCACAUGCACCUGCCUUCAGCCACUUAAGGUUCAGCUCAUUCUGCCACAGGGCAAGAGGUGAGUCAACUCGAGCUUCCCCAGCCCAGUGCUUCAGGUCUCUAAGCAAAAGGGUGGAAGUCAGGCUGACACAGCUGCCGAGACAGGCCUGGGUCUGUGCCCCGAACAAGCAGCCUGUUUCACUGCUUCUCCCUCAAGGAUGCUCAUCCACUUGAUGGUGAUCUCACCCUCAAAGUCGCAUCUGGACAGCUGUGACCUCAGACUCAUCAAGAGUCUAGAAGCAGUUUUACCAGGUUUAUUUCUGACAGCAGUUGUGGAGGCUUUGCUAACUUCCUGAGUAACACACGCAGCUUCAGCAGCCCAACAGCUUUGCUCUCUGCACAAGCUACAGCCCUGAUACAGCAAAUGUGCUCUUUCAGGAGAAAAGCAGCAGAGCACUAACGCUUCGCAGUGUUUCCAAGUAAGAAGAGCCAUCUUCAUGGCUUUUCUAAGAAAAGGGUACUUUCUCAGGUAUUCAAAAUGUUUUCAGGGCCAGAUCACCUGUGGGAGCAAGGGGGCCAUCUGUGUGAAGGCUCUGGGGUUUGACAGCCUGCAGUACCUUGUAGUUGGUAGGGUCAUAAGUCAGUGCAUUUCCAAGAUGUUCAAAUGCCUUCUGGUAAAUGCCGAGCUUGGAGAAAAGCAAACCAGAGAAUUACAUUGCAGGGGAGAUAGCAGUAGGAGACUGGCCAACCACACCCUCAACAGACACACUCUGACUUUUCUGAGUUCUUUUGACAAAAAAAAGAGCUAGAUACCAGAUUUUAAAAAAAGAAAACGAAGAUCCCCACAGUUGUUUGCCCUCCUAUUUUGUUGAUUUGUCCCCUAACAAGGUCAUAGUGGCUAUUUGCCAGGAACCGUCUGGCCACACUAGUGCUUUUCUGCACUAAUGCCUCUUGGCAGGAAAUGGGCUGGUUAGCCUCAUCUCCCCUGGGGCCAACCUCCCGAGCCAAAGCCCAGGAAGGCCCAGGGUUACACUCCCUUUGAAAGAAGAAUGAAACAGACAAAAAGGCCACCACAGUGGCAAAGCUGGAGGCAGGAUCUGCUGAGCAGGGAACUUGGGGGACUGAUAUGGGCAGCGCAGGGAGCGGCCCCUCAGGGAUCCCUGGGCCCCAGGGCCUCGAGCUGAUACAGGAAAGUGAUGGAGCUAAAAGAAUCCCAUACUCUCAGCAAUGUGGAGAGGGGGGAAACUUCUUAUUCUAGAUAAUGCUUUGCCUUCUCUCUUUCCUACAGGGCCCGGCUGAGAAGAACGAACAACAGAACUGGGCUUUGCCAGCCUCGGUAGUAUCGCAAGUGUCUCCUCCCACAAUAAAAUGCCGGCCCCCUGAACACAGUUAUUUCUCAUACAUGUUCUUUCCAUGGUUGGGUAAGAAGUAUGAUUGCACAAGGCUUACAGAUUUAUUUGCUUCUGAUUUGAAUGCAGAAAAUUAAUUCCUUUAGCAGACAGUAUCAAAUGCAGAGAGUAGGGUUCAUGUGCUUUAGUCAGCUGUGUUGAAGUAAAAUAAAAAUGCGGGAAAACACCACACACAGACCCAAUGGCACGUCUAACGUCAGCGCAGGGACAAGCCAAGAAUUCUCCUCACCUGCAAGUAGAGCAAUCCUAAAGUUGUAAGAAGUUCUGUGUUUUCCGGGGAGAACCUGCAACACAGAGAGGCUCAGAGGGAAAGCAGGCGUGUCUAAGACCCUGCUGCGCCGCCCACGCCCCGAGCGGACUCCUGAAGGGAUCUGGGAACUGCCCUCGAAAGCACGUCCCCUCAACCCUACAGGACUUAGACCUCGGACUCCUUUCUCAGGACCCUGUCUGAGUGCCGAAGCCCUCGGAAAGAACCUGUGGAAUAGCCUGCGUCACUGUUUUGGUUACACUAAUAGAAUUAAAGCAUAAUCCUUUAUAAACCAAGUCAGUCUAGAACACACACGGCUUUAGCCACUUCCCUCUAGUGAGAUUUUUUUUGUUGUUCUCACCAGAAAAACAAUGCCAGGCAGCAUGAUUUUCCGUGUAAUUUAGGAUCCCAAGGUCCCUAAUUCUCUGCUCCAUAGUAAACAAAAAGCCAUACUAAACAGCCAAACUAAAAAAGGAAGACACAUACCAGCUCUAGGGAAGAAUUAGCUGUUGGCUUUGGGGAGUAAACACUGGCUUAAGUAAAAGAUUAUCUGCCUUUCCAAUCCCUCACUGAUACUUGUCUUUGUCACAAAACCAAAGCAACACUGAGCGGAGACAAUCUGACCACAGGAUCAUCAGACAGUUUCAACAGUGAAAAUGGCAGGUGAGGAACAACGUCUCCUGUUUCUACGGAAUGAGGUAACACACUAGUCACCUCUGGGGAGACCAGAACCGGAGGGCCAAAGCCCCAGCCAGGGAAGGCCUGCCUGUAGCUGACCCUACACAGAAAACACGGUAGCACGUGUCCGUACAGAGCUUCCUCAGUUCAGCUGAGAACUUGCCCUUCACUUUUUGCCAUAAAUACCCAUUCUGAUCACCCUCCUUCCCCAAACCAAGCACAUAAAACCUCCGUGAUUCUGGUGGCAUCCAUCCCCCACAUAAAACAUGACUACUGUCUCCAAAGCCGUGGGUCAUAAACAACGGUGUCCACAAUCUCAGCGAGGCUCCAGAUGGUCAGCUGUCCUCUUCUCUCCCUUGAGAAUCUCAGCGACUUAAGUAAGUCCUUGACCAGCCACUGGAAGAAUGUGUGAGCUAACGUGAUUUCUGAGCCAACUUCUAGAUUGCAGGAGUCAGGGGUCAAGGCUCCCACCCAGCACCACGGAGGUCUAACACAUGCUACAUUCACUCCCUCCUCCUUGUCCACAUCAACGCAGCCUCUUGAUGACAGAAGUCUUUUCUAGCUUAACGAACCAAAGGAUUUUUAUGUUGUUUUAUCAGUUUAGAUACAAAAUAUGGUUGAAGAAAAUUCAGAAGCAGUGUUCUAAUACAACCAGAAAAGUUACUAUAAUGGUAGAAGACAAGUUAAUUAACAAAUUAAAAGAAAUCUAAGUUUAGUUCAGAGUCUAAUUAUCAGGAAUAAUAGACUCUGUGGCCUUGAAACCAGGCAUUCUAUCAAGUGACCAAACAAGUGAGGCACUGAAGCAUUUUCCUACAGCUACCCCCCUUAAACAAACAAGACCCUACACAGAAAAGACGGUAGCACGUGUCCGUACAGAGUUAACAGAACACCAUACUGGGAAAGCCCAUCAGUUCCAUUAUCGAUAGGGGUUUGGCCACCCUAAUGAUAUUUUUCAAAAACAGGGAUUGGUCUCAAGGCUAAUAAGUCCAGAUCUUUAUUACUGAAUCAGAUUUCUUUCCCUAAUAUCUCUGGGAACACAAAAUCUUCCGUAAAGUUUAAAACCACAAUGGCAGACUGCCAGCUCACUCCCAAAUCAUCUGUUCUCUCCUUCCUCUCGAGUAAGUCUGCCCACCUCCCCUGCAGCUAGGUGUGGCCUCCUCACUCAUUUCGAACCUUAGAAUGUGAGCAGCAACAACGUGCAACUAACUGCCUGUUUUCUGUACUCAGCUUCCCAUACCACCUCCCCCGAGCAUGCCUGGGGCAUGGAUGCUACAACCAUGCAAGUGCAGACGACGACCUAAGGAAUCAGGGGUGAAUGUGGAAGGCACCUGGAUCCCUAACUGACCUUGCAGAGCAGAGCUGCCCAGCGAGGCUAGACCAGCCACACUAACAGAUGGGAAAGAAACAUAAGUCUUCAUCAUUUAAGCCACUGGAAGCUCUAAAUAUUAGCUUAACAUUUACUCUUAACUCAUCCAACUAGUAACCAGUCACAUGUUCUCUCAGCCUUGGGAGUUCAUGACUGCUCCCAUUUCCGUUUCAGUUUCUCACUGCUCUAAAGGAAACAGACACACUUACUCCACUGCUUUCUUGUAGAUUUCGAUGGCCUUGUCCAGGUCUCCCUCCAGCAGGUGGAUCUUGCCCAGCAUUAUGUAGGUCAGAUCAUGCCUGUUCAGAUGCAGGGCAUUGUGCAGCUGGUCUUGUGCCUAACAAGGUUGAUGGAGUGAAGAGACGCACAUCACUACCAUGAAAGGACAGUGACUCUGUGUGGCUAAUGUAAAGACAGAGCCCCUGCUGUCCUAAUGCAGGAACAUCACAUUUCAGCAAACGCCCCACUACCCAAAAAACCGACACACCCAAACUGCUUGCUCCCAGAACAGCUACAACAUGGGGCGCCUGCCUCUAGAGCCACCUGGGGGGUUUGUACAGAAUAAUUAACCUUUUGAGUGUUUCCUGAUUCCUGAUAUUCAUCCUCAUGACUUGUAUGUUAUAAGUCAAGAGGGACAUCAUAGUACAGAGUGAGCAUGGCCCCAAACUCGGCCCCAGCUGCAUCGCUGACUGACUACACACCCUUCCCAAGGGGUGCACCUCAUUUUCCUCACCAACUUUUUUUUAAUUUAAGUAUAGUUGAUUUACAUUUCAGGUGUUGAGUGAUUCAGUUAUAUAUACAUAUAUAUAUUCUUUUUCAGAUUCCUUUCCAUUAUAGAUUACAAGAAAUUGAAUAUAGUUCCCUGUUCUAUACAGCAGGUCCCUGCUGUUUAUCUGUUUUUUUAUAUAAUAGUGUGUAUAUGUUAAUCCCAAACCCCUAAUUUAUCCCUCCCCUCCUUUCCCCUUUGGUAACCGUAAGUUUGUUUUCUAUGUCUGAGUCUAUUUCUGUUUGUAAAUAAAUUCAUUUGUAUCACU